rnacentral:rRNA from 1 species
UCCCAAACCCAUGUGAACAUACCUAACGUUGCCUCGGCAGGUCGCACCUACCUUGUAGCACCCUACCCUGUAGGGCCUACCCGGGAGGUGCGGGUAAGCCUGCCGGCGGCCCACCAAACUCUGUUUGAUAUUGAAUUCUGAACCUAUAACUAAAUAAGUUAAAACUUUCAACAACGGAUCUCUUGGUUCUGGCAUCGAUGAAGAACGCAGCGAAAUGCGAUAAGUAAUGUGAAUUGCAGAAUUCAGUGAAUCAUCGAAUCUUUGAACGCAUAUUGCGCCCAUUAGUAUUCUAGUGGGCAGGACCGUUCGAGCGUCAUUUCAACCCUUAAGCCUUCGUUGCUUAGUGUUGGGAGCCUACGGCAACGUAGCUCCUCAAAGUUAGUGGCGGAGUUAGUUCACACUCUAGACGUAGUAAUUUUUUAUCUCGCCUAUUAGUUGGACUAAUCCCCUGCCGUAAAACCCCCAAUUUAUCAAGGUUGACCUCGAAUCGGUUCAGACAAACUCGCUAAAUUGAAGCAUCUUAGUCAGCGAAGGAAAAGAAACCAACAGGGAUUGCCCUAGUAACGGCGAGUGAAGCGGCAACAGCUCAAAUUUGAAAUCUGGCCCUCGGGUCCGAGUUGUAAUUUGUAGAGGAUGCUUUUGGCGCGGUGCCUUCCGAGUUCCCUGGAACGGGACGCCUUAGAGGGUGAGAGCCCCGUACGGUUGGACACCAAGCCUCUGUAAAGCUCCUUCGACGAGUCGAGUAGCUUGGGAAUGCUGCUCUAAAUGGGAGGUAAAUUUCUUCUAAAGCUAAAUAUUGGCCAGAGACCGAUAGCGCACAAGUAGAGUGAUCGAAAGAUGAAAAGCACUUUGAAAAGAGGG